GUGCUUGUUUUGGCAGCACAUAUACUAAAAUUGGAAUGAUACAGAGAAGAUUAGCAUGGCCCCAGUGCAAGGAUGACACACAAAUUCAUGAAGGAAGACCCAUCUUC